rnacentral:rRNA from 1 species
GGAGGAAUAUUGGUCAAUGGACGAAAGUCUGAACCAGCCAUGCCGCGUGAAGGAUGAAGGCGUUCUGCGUUGUAAACUUCUUUUAUAUGGGGAGAAACCACCUUUUUCUAAGGGUGUUGACGGUACCAUAGGAAUAAGCACCGGCUAACUCCGUGCCAGCAGCCGCGGUAAUACGGAGGGUGCAAGCGUUAUCCGGAUUUACUGGGUUUAAAGGGUGUGUAGGCGGGUCUUUAAGUCAGUGGUGAAAUCU